rnacentral:rRNA from 1 species
GACGUAGGGCGCGAGCGUUGUCCGGAUUUAUUGGGCGUAAAGAGCUCGUAGGCGGCUUGUUGCGUCGACCGUGAAAGCCCGGGGCUCAACUCCGGAAUUGCCUUUAAGACUGCAUCGCUAGAAUUGUGGAGAGGUAAGUGGAAUUCCGAGUGUAGAGGUGAAAAUUCGUAGAUAUUCGGAAGAACACCAGUGGCGAAGGCGACUUACUGGACACAUAUUGACGCUGAGGUGCGAAAAGCGUGGGGGAGCAAACAGG